GACGAACGCUGGCGGCGCGCUUAAUACAUGCAAGUCGAGCGAGAACCAGGGCUUCGGCUCUGGGGACAGCGGCGAACGGGUGAGUAACACGUGGGUAAUCGACCCCCGACACCGGGAUAGCCCAGGGAAACUUGGAUUAAUACCGGAUGCCCCGUCUGGCCUUCGGGCCGGCCGGAAAAGGGUAGCUUCGGCCUCUGGUCGGGGACGAGCCCGCGGCGGAUUAGCUUGUUGGUGAGGUAAAGGCUCACCAAGGCGACGAUCCGUAGCUGGUCUGAGAGGACGAUCAGCCACACUGGGGCGGAGACACGGCCCAGACUCCUACGGGAGGCAGCAGUAGGGAAUCUUGCGCAAUGGGCGAAAGCCUGACGCAGCGACGCCGCGUGAGGGAAGAAGGCCUUCGGGUUGUAAACCUCUUUCAGGAGGGACGAAGCCACUCGGGUUAAUAGCCUAGAGGGUGACGGUACCUCCAGAAGAAGCCCCGGCUAACUACGUGCCAGCAGCCGCCGUAA
rnacentral:rRNA from 1 species